UACGUAGGUGGCAAGCGUUAUCCGGAAUUACUGGGCGUAAAGCGUGCGCAGGCGGUGAUGUAAGACAGAUGUGAAAUCCCCGGGCUCAACCUGGGAACUGCAUUUGUGACUGCAUCGCUGGAGUGCGGCAGAGGGGGAUGGAAUUCCGCGUGUAGCAGUGAAAUGCGUAGAUAUGCGGAGGAACACCGAUGGCGAAGGCAAUCCCCUGGACCUGUACUGACGCUCAUGCACGAAAGCGUGGGGAGCAAACAGG
rnacentral:rRNA from 1 species